AGCUUUGUGCAGUGGCAGUAUCGUAGCCAAUGAGGUUUAUCCGAGGCAUGAUUAUUGCUAAAAAAAAAAAAAAUUAAAAAAAAAAUAGGGUUUCCUAUGAUAUUUUCUUUCUCUCUUUUUGUGUGUGCCUAUUUGUU